UUAACAAGGAUUCCCCUAGUAACGGCGAGUGAAGCGGGAAGAGCUCAAAUUUGAAAUCUGGUGGCCUCAGGUCAUCCGAGUUGUAAUCUAUAGAAGUGUUUUCCGUGCUGGCUCAUGUACAAGUCCCUUGGAACAGGGCGUCAUAGAGGGUGAGAAUCCCGUCCUUGACAUGAACUACCAGUGCUCUGUGAUACAUUUUCAACGAGUCGAGUUGUUUGGGAAUGCAGCUCAAAAUGGGUGGUAAAUUCCAUCUAAAGCUAAAUAUUGGCGAGAGACCGAUAGCGAACAAGUACCGUGAGGGAAAGAUGAAAAGCACUUUGGAAAGAGAGUUAAACAGUACGUGAAAUUGUUGGAAGGGAACGAUUGAAGUCAGUCGUGCUCUUUGGAUUCAGCCGGUUCUGCCGGUGUACUUCCUUUGAGUGGGGUCAACAUCAGUUUUGAUCGCUGGAUAAAGGCUGGAGGAACGUAGUACCCUCGGGUAAACUUAUAGCCUCCUGUCACAUACAGUGGUUGGGACUGAGGAACGCAGCACGCCUUUAUGGCCGGGAUUCGUCCACGUACGUGCUUAGGAUGUUGACAUAAUGGCUUUAAACGAC
rnacentral:rRNA from 1 species